GGGGGUGUAGUCUAGACGUUAUGACGUCCCCUUCGCAGGUUGUUGCAUCCCAAUAGGGGAAGGUCCCGGGUUCAAAUCCCGGCUCCUCCA
rfam:Coniochaeta ligniaria NRRL 30616 unplaced genomic scaffold CONLIGscaffold_15, whole genome shotgun sequence.